rnacentral:misc_RNA from 1 species
AAGUCGUAACAAGGUUUCCGUAGGUGAACCUGCGGAAGGAUCAUUAACACUUUUUCAUUUUAUUGAAAAUUUAUUUUUCAAUAAUUUACUUACCCACAUUUUUGGAUGAAUUAUUUCUUUUUUAUUCUUUUUUAAAUUUUAAACCCAAAUACCAUAUUAUUUCUAACAUUUAUACACAAAAAGUUUAAGAAAAACAUAAAAAACAACUCUUAACAACGGAUAUCUAGGAUCUC